UGAAUUUUAACCUUCUUCUUUCCACGCUUGGCAUCAAAUAUAUCCUGUAUCUUCAUCACAAGCUGAAAAGAAAUGUAAAAGUUGAAUAUACCAGGAAGGCCCCAGCUGAAAAACAAAAAGCAUCUUGUUACUAUGUGUCCUAUUGAUAAGGCCUGGAGUAGUGGCAACAAUAACUGCAGUGUUCCAGAGCAAGGGAAAACAAGAUGUUUAACAGAUUGUGAAGGACAAAAGAUUUAAAAGAAGAAAAGUCAUACAGAAGCUCAAAGAGUGACUAUAGGGGAAGCAACAAUAAUCACUGUUAUACAGGCUGUGUCAUUUCUUCAGUGUUACAUGAAAAGAUAUAAUAAAAUAUUUACAAAAAUAUGAGGAGUGUCAUAUACUGUAUACACACACACACACACACACACACACACACACGUACUCAUGCAAACAUAGAAUAUGUGUCAACAGA